rnacentral:tRNA from 49 species
GUCCCCUUCGUCUAGAGGCCUAGGACACCGCCCUUUCACGGCGGUAACAGGGGUUCGACUCCCCUAGGGGACGCCA